GGUUAAUACCUGGGGUCGAUGACGGUACCGGAAGAAUAAGGACCGGCUAACUACGUGCCAGCAGCCGCGGUAAUACGUAGGGUCCAAGCGUUAAUCGGAAUUACUGGGCGUAAAGCGUGCGCAGGCGGUUGUGCAAGACCGAUGUGAAAUCCCCGAGCUUAACUUGGGAAUUGCAUUGGUGACUGCACGGCUAGAGUGUGUCAGAGGGGGGUAGAAUUCCACGUGUAGCAGUGAAAUGCGUAGAGAUGUGGAGGAAUACCGAUGU
rnacentral:rRNA from 1 species